UAAGUGACUAAGCGUACACGGUGGAUGCCUUGGCAGUCAGAGGCGAUGAAAGACGUAGUAACUUGCGAUAAGCCCAGAUUAGGUAGUAACAACCAUUUGAGUCUGGGAUUUCUGAAUGGGGAAACCCACGUGCAUAAGCACGUAUCCUUACCUGAAUACAUAGGGUAAGGAGGCGAACCGGGGGAACUGAAACAUCUAAGUACCCCGAGGAAAAGAAAUCAACCGAGAUUCCGAAAGUAGCGGCGAGCGAAAUUGGACUAGCCCUUAAGCUUUACACGCGUUAGACGAACGGUCUGGAAAGUCCGACGAUACAGGGUGAUAGUCCCGUAGUUGACGACGUGUGUUCAGUGAAAUCGAGUAGGGCGGGACACGUGAUAUCCUGUCUGAAUAUGGGGGGACCAUCCUCCAAGGCUAAAUACUACUGACUGACCGAUAGUGAACCAGUACCGUGAGGGAAAGGCGAAAAGAACCCCUGUGAGGGGAGUGAAAUAGAACCUGAAACCGUGUACGUACAAGCAGUAGGAGCAGGCUUUGUCCUGUGACUGCGUACCUUUUGUAUAAUGGGUCAGCGACUUAUAUUCAGUGGCAAGGUUAACCAUCUAGGGGAGCCGUAGGGAAACCGAGUCUUAACUGGGCGUUCAGUCUCUGGAUAUAGACCCGAAACCAGGUGAUCUAGCCAUGGGCAGGUUGAAGGUUGAGUAACAUCAACUGGAGGACCGAACCGACUAAUGUUGAAAAAUUAGCGGAUGACUUGUGGCUAGGGGUGAAAGGCCAAUCAAACCUGGAGAUAGCUGGUUCUCCCCGAAAGCUAUUUAGGUAGCGCCUCGGACGAAUACUACUGGGGGUAGAGCACUGUUAAGGCUAGGGGGUCAUCCCGACUUACCAACCCUUUGCAAACUCCGAAUACCAGUAAGUACUAUCCGGGAGACACACGGCGGGUGCUAACGUCCGUCGUGGAGAGGGAAACAACCCAGACCGCCAGCUAAGGUCCCAAAUUACUACUAAGUGGGAAACGAUGUGGGAAGGCUCAGACAGCCAGGAUGUUGGCUUAGAAGCAGCCAUCAUUUAAAGAAAGCGUAAUAGCUCACUGGUCGAGUCGGCCUGCGCGGAAGAUGUAACGGGGCUAAGUAGUAAACCGAAGCUGCGGCAAUGUGCUUUUGCACAUUGGGUAGGGGAGCGUUCUGUAAGCGGUUGAAGGUGUGUGGUAACGCAUGCUGGACGUAUCAGAAGUGCGAAUGCUGACAUGAGUAACGAUAAAGGGGGUGAAAAACCUCCUCGCCGGAAGACCAAGGGUUCCUGUCCAACGUUAAUCGGGGCAGGGUAAGUCGACCCCUAAGGCGAGGCCGAAAGGCGUAGUCGAUGGGAAACGGGUUAAUAUUCCCGUACUUCUUACAAUUGCGAUGGGGGGACGGAGAAGGCUAGGUGGGCCUGGCGACGGUUGUCCAGGUUCAAGUGCGUAGGCUUAAGAGUUAGGUAAAUCCGGCUCUUUUUAAGGCUGAGACACGACGUCGAGCAUCUACGGAUGUGAAGUCAUUGAUGCCAUGCUUCCAGGAAAAGCCUCUAAGCUUCAGAUUGUAAGGAAUCGUACCCCAAACCGACACAGGUGGUCGGGUAGAGAAUACCAAGGCGCUUGAGAGAACUCGGGUGAAGGAACUAGGCAAAAUGGUACCGUAACUUCGGGAGAAGGUACGCUCUCGACGGUGAAGUCCCUCGCGGAUGGAGCUAUUGAGAGUCGCAGAUACCAGGUGGCUGCAACUGUUUAUUAAAAACACAGCACUGUGCAAAAUCGUAAGAUGACGUAUACGGUGUGACGCCUGCCCGGUGCCGGAAGGUUAAUUGAUGGGGUUAGACUUCGGUCGAAGCUCUUGAUCGAAGCCCCGGUAAACGGCGGCCGUAACUAUAACGGUCCUAAGGUAGCGAAAUUCCUUGUCGGGUAAGUUCCGACCUGCACGAAUGGCGUAAUGAUGGCCACGCUGUCUCCACCCGAGACUCAGUGAAAUUGAAAUCGCUGUGAAGAUGCAGUGUACCCGCGGCUAGACGGAAAGACCCCGUGAACCUUUACUACAGCUUGGCACUGAACAUUGACCCUACAUGUGUAGGAUAGGUGGGAGGCUUUGAAGCACGUACGCCAGUAUGUGUGGAGCCGUCCUUGAAAUACCACCCUUGUAGUGUUGAUGUUCUAACGUCGACCCCUUAUCGGGGUUGCGGACAGUGCCUGGUGGGUAGUUUGACUGGGGCGGUCUCCUCCCAAAGAGUAACGGAGGAGCACGAAGGUGGGCUAAUCACGGUUGGACAUCGUGAGGUUAGUGCAAUGGCAUAAGCCCGCUUGACUGCGAGAAUGACAAUUCGAGCAGGUGCGAAAGCAGGUCAUAGUGAUCCGGUGGUUCUGAAUGGAAGGGCCAUCGCUCAACGGAUAAAAGGUACUCCGGGGAUAACAGGCUGAUACCGCCCAAGAGUUCAUAUCGACGGCGGUGUUUGGCACCUCGAUGUCGGCUCAUCACAUCCUGGGGCUGAAGUCGGUCCCAAGGGUAUGGCUGUUCGCCAUUUAAAGUGGUACGCGAGCUGGGUUUAGAACGUCGUGAGACAGUUCGGUCCCUAUCUGCCGUGGGCGUUGGAAGAUUGAAGGGGGCUGCUCCUAGUACGAGAGGACCGGAGUGGACGAACCUCUGGUGUUCGGGUUGUGUCGCCAGACGCAUUGCCCGGUAGCUAAGUUCGGAAUCGAUAACCGCUGAAAGCAUCUAAGCGGGAAGCGAGCCCUGAGAUGAGUCUUCCCUGAUACUUUAAGUAUCCUAAAGGGUUGUCGGAGACUACGACGUUGAUAGGUCAGGUGUGUAAGUGCUGUGAGGCAUUGAGCUAACUGAUACUAAUUGCCCGUGAGGCUUAACCA
rnacentral:rRNA from 2 species